rnacentral:rRNA from 1 species
UACGUAGGGUGCAAGCGUUGUCCGGAAUUAUUGGGCGUAAAGAGCUUGUAGGCGGUUUGUCGCGUCUGCUGUGAAAUUUCGGGGCUCAACUCUGACAUUGCAUUCGAUACGGGCAGGCUAGAGUUCGGUAGGGGAGACUGGAAUUCCUGGUGUAGCGGUGAAAUGCGCAGAUAUCAGGAGGAACACCGAUGGCGAAGGCAGGUCUCUGGGCCGAUACUGACGCUGAGGAGCGAAAGCGUGGGGAGCGAACAGG